UUUUCUUUUAAUUAUCGCGGCUCAAUAGGACCAAAAAUGUCGGGGUAUGUCGACGUAAGGGGCCGAUUGCGAAUAAUUAAAAGAAAAAUGUCAAGACUUCGUGGAAGAGCAAGAAAUAUUGGUCGACGUUCUCGGAACGCGCAACUGGUCCAUGAUCGUCGAUUUAAUAGAUCAGCCGAAGAACAAUCGGCGGACAAUAAAAAUUUAAGAAAUCAAGUUGCACGUACACGUGCAAAUGAAAAUUCAGGGUAAAGCACUCAACGUCUUUGUGCUAAUAUCUUAAGACAACGAGGGGCACGUCAACAAGCGACCAACGCACAUAGAGAACAUAACCAACGGCGAAUGCAGGAUAAUCAAGCAUUGGCACGAACAUCACUUAAUCGUCUCGCGUUUGAAUAUGAUUCUGAAAUAAACUAUUCGUCACAUCCAUUAAUCACGAUCGGUUGUUGGACAAAGAGUGUCAACAUUGUCAUGCUUUCAAGUACAAAGGUGAAUCAGCUAGUUUAUGUUGCGCAUCUGGGAAAAUUUCAUUGCCACCGCUCAAUAUACCACCGGAGCCUUAAAAACACUUUUAGCUGGAACCAAAUCUUAAUCGAAAUUAUUUUUGCGGAAAAUUCGUAAAUUCAAUUCAUGCUUCCAAAUGACGUCAUUUGGAGCAACAAAAAUUGUUCAUCAUGAAGAUGGUCGGAGUUUUGAGUCUACAUUCAAGAUUCUAGGUCAAGUGCACCAUCGAAUCAGUUCAUUGCUUCCAAUGUCUGAUGCCGAUCCAAAAUGUUUAAAAAUUUAUUUUAUGGUAAGUGAGGAGUAACAAUCACAUACGCUGCGCUGACAACCAUAUAGAGCAGAUAAAGGAACGGGAGAUUGUGGACAUUUUGGAAAGGUUUUUGAAAAAACAUAACCAAUUGGUACAAUUGUUCAAGAUCUUUUCUAACAGACUACAAAGCGACGAGUAAGUCAUUAAAGCAGACAAAGUGCCCUAUGGAAAGCACACAGGCACAGAUAUCUAAUGUUCCAACAGUUAAUGAAGUUGCAGUUGUUAUGACUGGUGACCCAUGUGAACGUCGAAACAGACGCAUAGAACGCAGAGAUAAUACGAUGCAAAUAAUUCAAGACAAGUAUCGUUUUAUAAUUCUUUGCAGUAUCCCUUGAUAUUUUGGGACGGAAAAGAUAGAUAUCAUUUAAAUAUUAAACAAAGGAAUCCAACUACAGGUGAAGAACUGCUGAAGACAGCUAGCGCUAUGAACUUCUACGCAUAUCGGUGGAUAAUUCGUGCUAAUGAAGACAACAACAUUCUCCGAUGCAGACAACUAUUUCAUCAGUACUGAGGAGUACAAUAAUUUGCGUAAUGCCAUAAUUGGUAACGUGCAACAAAUAAUAUCAAUAAAAUCUGUACUGCAUAUAUCCUCCCAUCAUCAUACAUUGGUAGUCCGCGGCGUUUGCAAGGAUUCAUUCAAGACGUUAUGACUUACGUACGACGUUCAUACAGCCGACCAGAUCUUUUUAUCACAUUGACGUGUAAUCCAAACUAGGAUGAAAUUAAAAAUUUUCUGUUGUCGGUCAAACAUCGAUGCAUCGCCAGAAAAUCCGUAUUUCUCUCACUCAAUUAUAUGUUGCAUGUUCCAGAGUUGGAAAACCAUCGAAUUUGUUUGUUUAUACGCUUCAAAGAUUAACCAAAAAUAUUGUACAUACAAUGGCAUUACGAUAAACUGAUAAACUAAGUUUAUGUAAAUUACA